UAUCUACUCCCUCCGUUCGGAAUUACUUGUCUCGGAAAUGGAUGUAUCUAGAACUAAACUACAUCUAGAUACAUCCAUUUCUGCGACAACUAAUUCCGAACGGAGGGAGUAUUAC
rnacentral:pre_miRNA from 1 species